GCCUAAUGCAUAAAUUAUUAUAACAUAUUUUACGAGCAGUUUACACUUUGCCUGAAAAUCGCCGACAUUUCGAUGUGAUUUGGUUCAAACUAACUAAAGUUUGGUGAAUUAAGUUCAACAUCUGAAUCAACAGGCAUACUUUUGAUAAUAUGGGCCAGUCUAAAUUCAAAUAAUUGAGUUCAGCUCAUGAAAAGUUCAGCAUCUCAACUGGGCCUUAGUGAACUUUAAAAAUCUGAUGAAUUAUUUUGAAUUGUGUAUUUUGUAAAACAUAAGAGAUCAAGGAAUUCGGUAAAGGUUGAAACAUUUUCUUCUCUUACUACAUGCUAAACAGAGAAGCAACAAUGAAAGUAUGUGCCAAGAGUCAUGAGGAGAAAGAAUCAUGUUGAAACAGUGGAUUCCAUAUUCUUAAUUCAAACCAGAAAGAUGUAUGCCGAGACUUAUGUGGAGAAAGAUUUAUAUUGAGGAGAUACAUGUUACUCUCACACAGCUUCCCUUCACCCAAAUAUACAAAUGCAUGUUGGGUGAAUUUCAUACUGGGACUAAACCUGCCACAGACUGGCAUCCCAUUUGGUCAGGGGUGGGUUGGAGAGCACAGAGUAGAAAGACGCAUCGUCAAUUGAUGCUACAGGAACUAGGAUAAGAUACAAAACAGAGAAGAAACAAGAAAGGCUGUUCUGAGACUUUAGAGGAAAAAGAAUUAAAUUGAGGCAUUGGAUCCCUUAUUAAGCUGCCAUCUGAAGUGUACAUGCAGCUACAUUACCAUGGAGAAGGAAGCAAAGGAAGGCAAAGAACUUCGUUUACACUGUAGAUGGAUCACGUUUUAAAAGUAAGGUAGAUUACAAGGCAAAGUUUAUCUCGAUUGAGUUUUCAUGCGAGAGAUUGUUAGGGCGGAGCUCGUAUUAGUGAUUUCACAACACAAGAGUUGCUGUCAAAUUGUCUCGUAUCUUGCUAGUUUUUUGAGGAAGCCGUGAAGUGUAUUCCAAGUUUGUAGCUGUAAAAUUUAGGUAGAACAUUAGUUCUACCUGGAUUUGUUUUUGCAACACGAAGUCACGAAGUCUCGUUAGUAAACUUGUCGUUAGUAAUUACUGUCAAAUUGUCUUGUAUAUAUUUCACAAAUUUACUGAAAUCUUUCUAGUUUUCAAAGACGCAUUGAAUUGACAAAAAAGGUUGCGCUUUUAAAAGGGCCAAGGAAAAAAUUGAAAAGUGGAAAAAUUGUCCUUAGAAAAAAAGUCUGCAAUCUUAAAUGGUGUCUGGUUUAGAGUCAAACAUAUACGGAGUCUUUUUGGUUGAAAAAAUCUUGCACUAUGUAGGGUUUUUCCCAUUAAAACUCACGGUAUAUACUUGAUUUCUGGCUAGACUCUGUUCAAAUACGCAGAAUUUUUUUUCUUUUUGGCAACCCUACAUAGUCAAAAAAUAGUAAAAGAGAUAGCCUACAUUUUGACUAGUUACCAGGCCCUUUUAA